AAAGUUCUCUGCAAAUUCCUAGAGGGCACUCUGUGAGGUCACAUCCUCUGUUUGCACAGGGCAGGAAGAGAACAAUAGGGGGGAAAAACUUACUACUUCCUUCCUGUCCAGAGCUCAUCCUCUUUUACAUCUUUCAGCUGUGGAGAAAAGGUGUAGUUUGUGCUCUAUUGAGCACAGGCACCAUAUUCAAAUGUGUGUUUUGUAAUAUAGAAGUCUAUUUUGCCUGACUUACUUGACUGCCAUUUUCUGCUUGAAUCAAGUCUGCAGUGUUAUAGGAGGAGGAUAGAGAACCAGAACAGAAGAGGGUACCACACAACUUUUCUACCAGCGAAGCAGCAACUGCGGCAGCUGAGACCCCUUCUGAAUCAAGGUGCCAGUAUCAGAUAGAAAUGCUCUCUCAUCUUCCAGACAAUCAAGGACUUUCAUCUUUCAAUAGCGACCUAAAUAAAGUAGACAUGGUUGGAACUGCUGCCUAAGAUAGCCACCAGACACAACAGAAGUGCUAGUUCCUGUUGCUGUGGGCCCGUGACCAGCUAUUCUGUGUUGAACCAAUUUAAACAAAGACCCUUUUUCAGAGACAGAAAAAUCUGCAAGCUUGACUGCUUCAAGACAGUGUUGGCAUUUUUAAAAUUCUUGGAAGUAUUUCAGAGGCGAAUUGUUUAGAAGACUCAAAUAAAAAUUCUAGUAAUGAUGACAGAAAAAUGGGGAAAUUGCACACUUUACGACAGGAGUUUUUGCUUUUUGCACAUGUGGGACCUGGAAACGGAACUCUAGACACCCUGGGCAUCAGCUUAAGAGAACCGAGUGCUGGAGAAAACUGACAUUUUGCUUCACAAGAUAUAGAUCUAUUUGUGGAUCCCAGAGUCACCAUGCGUACAUCCUAUGUUCUGCUUCUAACAUAGAUGAGAUGAGAACUAUGUGCCUUCAAGGCAGACUGAGGUAGAUAUCUGAAUGCUCAGGGAAACCCUGAGGUUUGCAGAAGUACCAAAACACAUAAAAGCCUUAAGGAGACACACAGACCCCCGAAAAGCUCAACAGUGGGGCUUGAACAUGGACAGUGAACAUCAGGAGCCUGAAAUGUUGGGUAUCUGAAGGAGUCUGUGCAGCAGUGGGGUUGAAUGGGCAAACAGAAGGAAACUCACUUGAUAGUCCGUUUUCAGUGGAUUCAUCUGGCAUCCCUAUGCUAAGCUUCCUUCCUAACAUUUUAUAAGCUUCUUCAUCCUGGCUGUGAGGGAAAUUGCUGGGGAGAGAUACAAAUAGAUUUCCUCAUGGAUGUUCACUAUAUUUGGUCUCCCCUAAACAAAGCAAUCCAAGUAGUGCAACAGAUGGGCUGGAUUGACAUUGCUUCAAACCAAGGCUAAAGACAUUCAAGAGAAGUUUAAAAGCCAAUGCAGCAAUACGAUGACCAAGACAAAUCGCCUGCCUCUGACACACCAGGAAGAAUCUUUACACUAUUUUAUAAAGUAGCUAACUGAAAUGUUUCAACAACGUAAGGAUUAUUUCAAAUGAAAAGUGUAAAAUCCUGUCAAAUAUCUCCAACACAUAUUGUGCUUAAUUCUGCAUAUGAAAAGCGCACUGGCCUAUUUUUUUUCUUGAGAGUACUUCUAGGGCACAUUAUGU